GUGACAGCCCCGUACACAAAAAUGCACAUGCUGUGAGCUCGAUGAGUAGGGCGGGACACGUGGUAUCCUGUCUGAAUAUGGGGGGACCAUCCUCCAAGGCUAAAUACUCCUGACUGACCGAUAGUGAACCAGUACCGUGAGGGAAAGGCGAAAAGAACCCCGGCGAGGGGAGUGAAAAAGAACCUGAAACCGUGUACGUACAAGCAGUGGGAGCACGCUUAGGCGUGUGACUGCGUACCUUUUGUAUAAUGGGUCAGCGACUUAUAUUCUGUAGCAAGGUUAACCGAAUAGGGGAGCCGAAGGGAAACCGAGUCUUAACUGGGCGUUAAGUUGCAGGGUAUAGACCCGAAACCCGGUGAUCUAGCCAUGGGCAGGUUGAAGGUUGGGUAACACUAACUGGAGGACCGAACCGACUAAUGUUGAAAAAUUAGCGGAUGACUUGUGGCUGGGGGUGAAAGGCCAAUCAAACCGGGAGAUAGCUGGUUCUCCCCGAAAGCUAUUUAGGUAGCGCCUCGUGAAUUCAUCUCCGGGGGUAGAGCACUGUUUCGGCAAGGGGGUCAUCCCGACUUACCAACCCGAUGCAAACUGCGAAUACCGGAGAAUGUUAUCACGGGAGACACACGGCGGGUGCUAACGUCCGUCGUGAAGAGGGAAACAACCCAGACCGCCAGCUAAGGUCCCAAAGUCAUGGUUAAGUGGGAAACGAUGUGGGAAGGCCCAGACAGCCAGGAUGUUGGCUUAGAAGCAGCCAUCAUUUAAAGAAAGCGUAAUAGCUCACUGGUCGAGUCGGCCUGCGCGGAAGAUGUAACGGGGCUAAACCAUGCACCGAAGCUGCGGCAGCGACGCUGAUGCGUUGUUGGGUA
rnacentral:rRNA from 1 species